rnacentral:lncRNA from 1 species
AUAGACUUUAUUUUUUACUUUCCCUCCCUUCCUCUGAUCUCGUCAAAUUCUUCUUGUUCAACUUGAUCCACCCGAACUAUCAACAGUUCCCCAAACUCCAGAUAUGUUCUGGGCCUCAGCUUUUCCUGGUUUCUUUGACUUUAAGAAGACGUCUCUUCUCUUCUCCUUUACUGGCUAAUCUAGACUUUCUGAAAAGCCCAGAGACAGGACUUUCCGAUUCAUCGUCACAGGGCCUUGUGCUGGAAAGUGCUUGUGCUCAGGGUAAAUGUUUGUUGAAUGAAUGAAUGAGAGACGAUGAAAGAGAUGGGGGGAUGACCUUGUGCCCAGAGUCCACAUCCAGGGAGUGGAGGAAGAAGGGUGGCUAGGGAACAACAAUGCUGGAAAGCGGUUUGUACGUGAGCCCCAGGGUGACCGAGACACGUCACAGGCACUGGGGGAAAGAGGGCUGGUGUCUGGCCAGGUCACCAAGGAAAGUGCCUCUCCUUCUGUGGACAGGGGCCUCCUGGCUGGAGCUGGAGGGGAAGGCUUUCCAGAGGGAGGGGGUGACAUGAGUCCAGGCCCAGAGAACAGAAGGCACAAAUGGUCUGCAGGACACCGCGAGAGAACCUUUCCCCUCCACGCUCUGUGGCAGACUCUCUUCUUUGGGGAAAGCUGACCAGGAAGUGUCAACUUAUACAACAGAUCUGCAAGCUGAGACGGGAGCUGCAGCGGACAGGGCCGUGCUGUGGGCUGCAAGGGGCGCUCCCCUCAGUCUCCCUGCCUCCCUGCCUCCCUCAGGUUGGGCCUGCAGCUCAGGGGCCUUGAAGAGAGGGGUCUGGGUGAACCCAGGGCAGCAGAAAAGGCAGGAAGGAAGGCUGCAGGCCAACGGCUGACACACCAGCCCCCGGGCGCUCUGACCAAGGCUGGAGCUACGGGCUUUGAUUACAGGCAAGACCUGCUCACAGACGAGAAGUAAUCCAGCGGCUGCAUCCAGGAUGGAUGGGCGGAGAGGCUGCAGGCAGGGAGGUUUAUUGCAACAGUCCAGGGGGGGGAUGACGGCUCGCUGGCGGUAGGAAUGGAAAGGAACAGAGAGAUGUGAAAAAAGAUUGGAAAGAGGGAGAAAAAUCUGCUCGACUGAUGGCGUGUCUUGGAGUGAGGGAGAGGAAGGAGCUGGCCACGACUUGACGGAUUCACGCUCAGGCAACAGGGACUUUGGAGAGCGUGGUGCUGCCUGAACCACAGACGUCUGGAGAAACUGCUCUCGUUAAUUUAAAUGUGUCACAACCACCAUCUAUACUCUGUGCUUUGUGAACGGAGAAGACUGGGUAGGAAGCGAGGAGGCCCCUCCAAUAUACACACAAACACACACACACACCCCACACACACAUGCAAACACACAGAAACACACACAUUUUCUCUAGGGUCAAGGAGAGUUGGUGGAUGCUGGCACGUGAAAGCCAGCAUCCUACUUGGAUAAACCCUGGGCUCUGCUCUUAAAGCUCUUCUGAUGAGGAAAUUGAAACCUCAGUGAUUCGAGGUCAGUCCCUUUCACGUGCUGACCGUGGCUCCAUUAAAGACCUUUGGGGGCGCUGGAGGGCUUUCACCCCAAGCCCCAGAACCUGCUACGGCAGCCAGCAAGAGGGGAACAGUGGGCUUACCUGUUUGGGAACAAGAACCCAGAACCUUGUCACCCACUGUGGCCUAGGCCUCUGUGACAAAGAUUCAGAGACUUUUAGAUGAGAAAAAGCUUCAUUCUUCAGGAAGGCUCUUUAGAUACAGGCUUACAGCAAAGGCAAAGGAAAACGAAGCCGCGAUCCUUUUAGUGCAAUCAGAAAAAUGGUUCCAACGGCACAUUUGCUGCAGAUCCUUUCAGGGUAAAGGAAAAAUAUCGGCCUGAAUUAGGCCCUAUGAGGUGACAUGGGAAGAAUGUGCUCUCGGGAUCGGAAACAUCCAUUAUUGACUCAUCUGCCAACCUGAACACCCAGGGCACGCGCAGCCCCAGCUCUGUGCACGCUGCACCUGCAGAUCAGACCCUCCCAGGAUCACACACCGCUUGCUUCCGACAGCUCUGCGCCUCAUGGGGGGUGGUAUCUUCACCUGUGUCAUUCUCUGACACCAAGGGUCACCUCACCUUGUAAACCUGGCCAAUCUCCCUUCGAGGUAAAGCCUUGAAGGCACAACCACAGUCCUCCAUGAGCCUGGGAGUUCUGGGGAGGCUGGCAUGGGGCCCCCUGGACACAGGGGCUGGUGGAGGUCAAGGCCCCCUGGGCUCUGGGCUUUCCCGGCAACCACUCCAGUGCUGCACCCGUGGACACCAGCAAAUGGGCAGAAUCAAACGCCAGCUGCAGAGAGACACCUGGGGCUGAAAGGCUAGAGGACCAAGGACCUCCAGGGACCAUGGGGGAGGAAGCCAGUGCUUCCUGGGCCCAGAUGCUCACCAGAGAAGAGACAAACAUGGGCAAUGAUGCCAGGGCUGCUCUGACUGCUGGGACGGUGCCCACUCAGUUUGAGGCCUUUUCAGCUAUGCUAUUUAACCUCCCUGGGUCUCAGUUUCCUCAUCUGCAAAAUGGGGAAAAACAGCCCUUCAGUGAGCCCUGUAACUAAGAGUCUAGAGGGAGGGACAAGAAGUCACAAUAUGGGCCCUCCUGUUGGCCUUAAAGGAGCCAAGUGCCAUGCUACAGAGAGGGCCACAUGGCAAGACGACGAUGACCUCUAGGAGCAGAGGGCCUUGGGAUUCUAUAACCACGAGGAACUGAAUUCUUUCAACAACCACAUGAGUGUGGACAAGGAACCCAAGCUCCAGAUGCCUGGCCAGCAUCUUGAUUCUGGCCUUGUGAGCGUGUGAGCAGACACCUCAGUUCAGCCCUGACUCCUGACCUACAGACCCCGUGAGAUAAUGAAUGGAGGUGGCGGCGAGUUUGAGGGCAUUUGUUAUGUGCAACAGAAAACGAAUACGCCUUCUCAUCUCCGGAUCAUGCUUAUUCAGGGUAGGAACCACAUCUUAUUUGACCUGGUUGUCUUAACCACUGGCACCUAGUUGAAUGAAGGAAUAAAUAAGUACUCUUUUAGAAAAGCAACAGAGUGAAGUGGUUAGGUAUCUGAUUCUCGAUGACUUGGCCCUUUCACUUACUAGCUGUGUGACCUUGGGCAAGCUGCUUGACUUCUCUGGCCAUUGGUUUCCCAAGCCAUAAAAUGGGUAUACUCAGGAUCCCUACCUUACAGGGUUGCUAGGAGGAUUAAAGAACUAACUUGUAUAAAAAGCACCUAUAUAGCGCCUAUUGUGAGCCAGGAGUUCUAAGAGUUAGAUGUUACUGCUAUUUCAUGGUGAGGAGGAAGAAAGCCUGGCGGGAGCCGCAGUGUGUCAAAGAGAGAAAGGACAGGACUGGGGGCUGGGUGGCCAGGCUCAGGGCUCAGCCAUGUCACCUGAUCACGGGCAAGCCAUGGACCUCUGUGAGUCUCAGUUUUCUCAUCUCCAAAGUGGGAGUGAUGACCUUGGCCGCUUGUCUGGUUGGGAGGUUCUUGUGAGAGAAAGUUCCUGAAGGCACUUUUCAAAUUGUGAAACACUGUGUGUGUGUGUAUGUGCGUGUGUGUGUGUGUGUGUGUGUGUGUUAGCUACUGGGAAGAGAUGGUGGAAAGAACACAGGGCGAGGGGUGCCUGUUGGCAGAGCAGAGGAGGUGACAAAGGGCUGAGUUUGGAGAAGGUCUGUGGCAGAUCCGCCAGGAUCACAGCCUGAGGACCUGCUGGAUGGUGCCACGUGUCUGCACCAAGACGGUGAGAGAAUUAAGGUGAGGAGAGUCCUUGGCAUGCCCUGAACGUCUUAGGAAUUCAAAAUUGAAAAGGACCAAGAAAAACAAAUUUUCAGCUGACACGGCCAAGCACAUAAAAACAACCCUGGCUGCUAAACCCUCUGUUUUUCUUGGAACUUCCUUUCUUUUUUCUUUUUCUUUUUUUUUUUUUUAUAGGGCUGCACCUGUGGCAUAUGGAAGGUCCCAGGCUAGGGGUCCAGUUGGAGCCGUAGCCGCCAGCCUACACCAAAGCCUCAGCAACACAGGAUCCGAGCUGCGUCUGUGGCCUACACCACCGCUCACAGCAAUGCCGGAUCCUCAACUCACUGAGCAAGGGAAGGGCUCGAUCCCACAUCCUCAUGGACGCUAGUUGGGUUUGUUAACUGCUGAGCCACAACGGGAACUCCUGGAACUUCCUUUAAACGCAGCAUCUGGGCUUGAGAAGCACGUGGGUCUCAGGCUGGAUGCCUUGUGCUUGGUUCCUGUGGCAAACAGGUUCUGAGGGGAAACGCAUGUCUGAGCCUGUCCUCAGCUCACAGUGUCACCAAACAGCAAAGCUUGGAGGGACAGUGGGAGCCUCUCUCCAACCCAUUCUUACAGACAGAGACACCAAGGGCCAGAGAGUCUUGGGGCCACGUUACCAAAUGUCCUAGAUGCCACCUAACAAUCGCUCUGAGGAUUCUGCACAAAAGGGACAAUGGAGCAGAAGCACCUGGCACUGAGCCUGGACAGCAGGAGGUCCUCAAUACCCUACCUGUCCCUUCCCCACGCCGGGUUCCAUGGCUGCUUUUUCAGAUGCCCCCAAAACCUCCACUCAUCCAGGAAACAUUUACUGAGCAUCUGCUCUGAGCCAUACACACAGGGGCCUGCACAUACAAGAUGAAACUCCUGGGCUUCAGCAGCUCAGGCAGUACCGUGUCCUGGUAAAGAACAACGCUUUGGAGCUAGACUGUGCGGCUGACUCCCAGCUCCCCUGCUGUGCUUCCUGUGCCUGAGCUGCUGCAUCCAUGCAAUGGCAAUAAUAACAGAAUCCAGAUCAGAGAACUGUUUUCAGGAAUAAAGGAUGAGAUGCAUGCAUGCAAAGUGCUCAUCUGGGCUGGAGGGGACCAGAUGCUGGUGGCUUUUUGUUAUUCCUCAAGGACCCUCCAGGGGGCAGUGCACAGGAUUCUCCUUCAAGGGGAAACAAACUUCCAAACCUGAGUAAAUUCUCUUCUAAAUCCAUUGGGCGGCCCAGUGAACGGCUUCAAUACCCUCUUUCUACCCAAAGAGCAGGAAAACCAAAUACCCACAUCUCUCUCUUUCUCACAGAAAGAGCA